CACGGGGGGAGCAAGCGUUGUUCGGAAUCACUGGGCGUAAAGGGCGUGUAGGCGGUCAAGUAAGUGGAAUGUGAAAUGCCCCGGCUCACCCGGGGACCUGCAUCCCCAACUGCUUGGCUUGAGUAUGGGAGAGGAUGAGGGAAUUCCUGGUGUAGCGGUGAAAUGCGUAGAGAUCAGGAAGAACACCGGUGGCGAAGGCGCUCUGCUAGGCCGUAACUGACACUGAGGGACGAAAGCUAGGGGAGCGAAUGGG
rnacentral:rRNA from 1 species